rnacentral:lncRNA from 1 species
UAUAGAUCCCGAAGCACCAGAAGGAGAAUAUUUGGAAUUUUCAGAAGGACCUUCGGAGUUCGAAGAAGUUUUUGAGUUAGUUUCCUGUGAAGCCAACCCGUCAGAGAAUACUAACUUUUUAAGCGAACAAGGCAAGCCCCGGUGCAUUUAUACCUAUCUAUUUUGGAGUCGUUAUUUCAUGUGUCCAAUUAUCGGUUAUUUGCUAUAUGUAUGCACUAAGUCUAGGAGUUGCUUGAAA